rnacentral:rRNA from 1 species
CCCUUAGAUGUUCUGGGCCGCACGCGCGCUACACUGACGAAUGCAACGAGCUUAUAACCUUGGCCGAAAGGUCUGGGUAAUCUCCAAAUUUCGUCGUGAUGGGGAUAGAUUAUUGCAAUUAUUAAUCUUCAACGAGGAAUGCCUAGUAAGCGCAAGUCAUCAGCUUGCGUUGAUUACGUCCCUGCCCUUUGUACACACCGCCCGUCGCACCUACCGAUUGAAUGGUCCGGUGAAAUCUUCGGAUCUGAGAGAUGUCUGAUUAAUUUCGGACGCCUUUUGGAAAAGUUGUUUAAACCUUACCAUUUAGAGGAAGGUGAANUCGUAACA